CACGACACGUUUGAUGUGUGUUUCGACGGCGUUUGGAGCUGAGGAGAGCUCGUGAUGCAGCAUUACUCUCUUCAGCAGGAGAACCAGCUGCAUUUCAGACAACAGUCCUGCAAGACGUUAAAUUCCUGGGUGGAUCUCGGCAGAAUAAGAGUCGGACCUAGUCGAUCACUUCAUCCAAAAGAGCCGGACCAAACUGUCCGAAGAGAGAAACAGAGAGAAUGAUCCCCAGUAAGGAAUCAUUACUGGGAAACUCAGGU
rnacentral:lncRNA from 1 species